GGCCAUCCUAAAUUUUUUUAUCUGGCUCCGCCACUGGGUUCAUGUCUAAAAAAACUCAAUUAUUUUAAGGUAGAUUGCUUUAUUGGAAACCUUUAGAAUUUUUUUUUAUAUUCUGACCAUCCAUUUUAUUAUAUGUAAAUAGAAACCACGAAAAAAGAAAAAGAAAAAGAAGAAUUAUGACAGACACUCUUCUUUCAUUGUAUACAAUAUCCAAAAAGGUUCUGGCAUGCCGACACCUAGGGUUUGAAUCAUGAAGCACCAAUUUACUCCUAUUGUGGUUUUCAGUCAUGAAGUAACAAUUUGCUCUGGCUCUGACCCCGGUAAUAAUUUCGACACCGAUGAUUUUAAUCGUGAAGUAUCAAUUUACUACUCAUGUAGUUUCAGGUAUGCCCUAUCAAUUUAUGCAUGAAUAUCGUGAUAUGAUCCUUUCUUUUACAUCUUAUCAUUUACCCCUCAUACCGUGUCAGACUUGAAUGUUAUACUAAAGUAUAUUAACAAUAUGAUUCUUUCAAAAAAGAUGGAUGCGUAUGUCAAAACAACAAUAUGAAUGAGAUAUUUAUAUAAUUAUAUAAUAAAAAUAUUAUAUAUAUUUAAAGAUUAUCAUUAAUCACUUUUGUUUAUUAUGUAUUUUUAGAAAAAA
rnacentral:lncRNA from 1 species